AGGAGAUCCAUCUUCCACUGUGUUUCAGGAGGACCGACCAGUCCUGUGCCAUGAGGAGGAUGUCGUCCAAAUAGACUAUCAGUCUUACUCCUCGACUGCGCAACCAAGCCAUGGCAGGGCGCAUCAAUUUGGUGAAGCACCACGGAGCUGACGAGAGCCCGAAAGGGAGGCAUGUGAAGUGCCAAGUGUCGCCUUUCCAGAGGAAGCGUAGGAAGUCCCUGGAUGCCUCGGUCACU